rnacentral:tRNA from 1 species
GCCCGUGUGGCUCAGUGGACAGAGCGUCGGCCUGUGGACUGAAGGGUCCCGGGUUCGAGUCCAGUCAAGGGCA